rnacentral:rRNA from 1 species
UACGUAGGGGGCAAGCGUUGUCCGGAUUUAUUGGGCGUAAAGAGCUCGUAGGCGGCUUGUCGCGUCGACUGUGAAAACCCGCGGCUCAACUGCGGGCUUGCAGUCGAUACGGGCAGGCUAGAGUUCGGUAGGGGAGACUGGAAUCCUGGUGUAGCGGUGAAAUGCGCAGAUAUCAGGAGGAACACCGGUGGCGAAGGCGGCAUCCUGGGACCGCAU